rnacentral:rRNA from 1 species
CCUACGGGAGGCAGCAGUGAGGAAUAUUGGUCAAUGGACGAGAGUCUGAACCAGCGAAGUAGCGUGAAGGAUGACGGCCCUAUGGAUUGUAAACUUCUUUUAUAUGGGAAUAAAAUGUUCCACGUGUGGGAUUUUGUAUGUACCAUAUGAAUAAGAAUCGGCUAACUCCGUGCCAGCAGCCGCGGUAAUACGGAGGAUCCGAGCGUUAUCCGGAUUUAUUGGGUUUAAAGGGAGCGUAGGUGGAUUGUUAAGUCAGUUGUGAAAGUUUGCGGCUCAACCGUAAAAUUGCAGUGGAAACUGGCAGUCUUGAGUACAGGAGAGGUGGGCGGAAUUCGUGGUGUAGCGGUGAAAUGCUUAGAUAUCACGAAGAACUCCGAUUGCGAAGGCAGUUCACUGGACUGUAACUGACAUUGAGGCUCGAAAGUGUGGGUAUCAAACAGGAUUAGAUACCCGAGUAGUC